GACGAACGCUGGCGGCGUGCUUAACACAUGCAAGUCGAACGGAAAGGCCCUUCGGGGUACUCGAGUGGCGAACGGGUGAGUAACACGUGGGUGAUCUGCCCUGCACUUUGGGAUAAGCCUGGGAAACUGGGUCUAAUACCGAAUAGGACCACGCGCUUCAUGGUGUGUGGUGGAAAGCUUUUGCGGUGUGGGAUGGGCCCGCGGCCUAUCAGCUUGUUGGUGGGGUAAUGGCCUACCAAGGCGACGACGGGUAGCCGGCCUGAGAGGGUGACCGGCCACAGGGGGAUUGAGAUAGGGCCAAGACGCGUGGGGGGGCAGCGGGGGGAAAUAUGGCACAGGGGGAGAAAGCCUGAGGAAGCGGCGCCGGGGGGGGAAGGACGGCUUUGGGGUUGAAAACCUCUUAAAAAGGGGACGAGGCGAAGGGGACGGUACCUAAAGAAGAAGCCCCGGCCAACUACGGG
rnacentral:rRNA from 1 species